ACUCCUACGGGAGGCAGCAGUGGGGAAUAUUGGACAAUGGGGGCAACCCUGAUCCAGCCAUGCCGCGUGAGUGAUGAAGGCCCUAGGGUUGUAAAGCUCUUUUGUGCGGGAAGAUAAUGACGGUACCGCAAGAAUAAGCCCCGGCUAACUUCGUGCCAGCAGCCGCGGUAAUACGUAGGAGGCGAGCGUUAUCCGGAUUUACUGGGCG
rnacentral:rRNA from 1 species